rnacentral:rRNA from 1 species
GACGAACGCUGGCGGCGUGCUUAACACAUGCAAGUCGAGCGGUAAGGCCCUUUCGGGGGUACACGAGCGGCGAACGGGUGAGUAACACGUGGGUGACCUGCCCUCAGCUCUGGGAUAAGCCUGGGAAACCGGGUCUAAUACUGGAUAUGACUCCAUGACGCAUGUUGUGGGGUGGAAAGCCUUGUGCGGCUGAGGAUGGGCCCGCGGCCUAUCAGCUUGUUGGUGGGGGAUGGCCUACCAAGGCGACGACGGGUAGCCGGCCUGAGAGGGCGACCGGCCACACUGGGACUGAGACACGGCCCAGACUCCUACGGGAGGCAGCAGUGGGGAAUCUUGCGCAAUGGGCGAAAGCCUGACGCAGCGACGCCGCGUGAGGGAUGACG